AAACUUUGCAAUGUGCGAAAGCACGACAAGGUUAAUCCGAGUGGUUUCUGCUAAAGGAACCUUUUGACAGUCCUAGAAACACUGUUGAAUAAGGGGUGGGCAAGUUCUGGUGUCAGCCGCCGCGGUAAAACCAGCACCUCAAGUGGUCAGGAUGAUUAUUGGGCCUAAAGCAUCCGUAGCCGGCUCUGUAAGUUUUCGGUUAAAUCUGUACGCUCAACGUACAGGCUGCUGGGAAUACUGCAGGGCUAGGGAGUGGGAGAGAUAGACGGUACUCGGGAGGAAGUGGUAAAAUGCUUUGAUCUCUCGAUGACCACCUGUGGCGAAGGCGGUCUAUCAGAACACGUCCGACGGUGAGGGAUGAAAGCUGGGGGAGCAAACCGGAUUAGAUACCCGGGUAGUCCCAGCUGUAAACUAUGCAAACUCAAUGAUGCAUUGACUUAUGGUCAAUGCAGUGUUGCAGGGAAGCCGUUAAGUUUGCCGCCUGGGAAGUACGUACGCAAGUAUGAAACUUAAAGGAAUUGGCGGGGGAGCAC
rnacentral:rRNA from 1 species